rnacentral:rRNA from 1 species
GGGGAAUACUGCACAAUGGGCGAAAGCCUGAUGCAGCGACGCCGCGUGAGGGAUGGAGGCCUUCGGGUUGUAAACCUCUUUCGCUCAUGGUCAAGCCGCAACUGUGGGUUGUGGUGAGGGUAGUGGGUAAAGAAGCGCCGGCUAACUACGUGCCAGCAGCCGCGGUAAUACGUAGGGCGCGAGCGUUGUCCGGAAUUAUUGGGCGUAAAGGGCUUGUAGGCGGUUGGUCGCGUCUGCCGUGAAAUCCUCUGGCUUAACUGGGGGCGUGCGGUGGGUACGGGCUGACUUGAGUGCGGUAGGGGAGACUGGAACUCCUGGUGUAGCGGUGGAAUGCGCAGAUAUCAGGAAGAACACCGGUGGCGAAGGCGGGUCUCUGGGCCGUUACUGACGCUGAGGAGCGAAAGCGUGGGGAGCGAACAGGAUUAGAUACCCUGGUAGUCCACGCUGUAAACGUUGGGCACUAGGUGUGGGGGCCACCCGUGGUUUCUGCGCCGUAGCUAACGCUUUAAGUGCCCCGCCUGGGGAGUACGGCCGCAAGGCUA